CCUACGGGAGGCAGCAGUGGGGAAUUUUGCGCAAUGGGGGCAACCCUGACGCAGCAACGCCGCGUGAGUGAUGAAGGCCUUCGGGUCGUAAAGCUCUGUCAGAGGGGAAGAAAUGCAGGUGGUGAACAACCAUUCUGUUUGACGGUACCCUCAAAGGAAGCACCGGCUAACUCCGUGCCAGCAGCCGCGGUAAUACGGAGGGUGCGAGCGUUGUUCGGCAUUAUUGGGCGUAAAGCGCGUGUAGGCGGUUUGUUAAGUCUGAUGUGAAAGCCCCGGGCUCAACCGGGGAAGUGCAUUGGAUACUGGCAGGCUUGAGUACGGGAGAGGAGAGUGGAACUACCAGUGUAGCGGUGAAAUGCGUUGAUAUUGGUAGGAACACCAGUGGCGAAGGCGGUUCUCUGGGCGACAACUGACGCUGAGGGACGAAAGCAAGGGGAGCGAACGGGAUUAGAU
rnacentral:rRNA from 1 species